rnacentral:rRNA from 1 species
CGCGAAUAGCUCAUUACAACAGCUAUAAUUUACUUGAUCUUGACACAAUCCUACUUGGAUAACUGUGGUAAUUCUAGAGCUAAUGCAUGCAUUAAAGCUCUGACCUCACGGGAAGAGUGCAUUUAUUAGAACAAAACCAAGCGGCUUCGGCUGUUUCUGGUUGACUCAUAGUAACUGAGCUGAUCGCAUGGUCUUGCACCGGCGACGUGUCUUUCAAGUAUCUGCCGUAUCAACUUUCGAUGGUAGUGUAUCUGACUACCAUGGUGAUCACGCGUAACGGAGAAUAAGGGUUCGGCUCCGGAGAGUUCGCCUGAGAAAUCGCGAACACAUCUAAGGAAGGCAGCAGGCGCGAAAAUUACCCACUCUCAGCACGAGGAGGUAGUGACGAAAAAUAACGAGACCGUUCUCUUAUGAGGCCGGUCAUCGGAAUGGGUACAAUUUAAACCCUUUAACGAGUAUCUAUGAGAGGGCAAGUCUGGUGCCAGCAGCCGCGGUAAUUCCAGCU